AUUGAACGCUGGCGGCAGGCCUAACACGUGCAAGUCGAGCGGAUGAAGGGAGCUUGCUCCUGGAUUCAGCGGCGGACGGGUGAGUAAUGCCUAGGAAUCUGCCUGGUAGUGGGGGAUAACGUCCGGAAACGGGCGCUAAUACCGCAUACGUCCUGAGGGAGAAAGUGGGGGAUCUUCGGACCUCACGCUAUCAGAUGAGCCUAGGUCGGAUUAGCUAGUUGGUGGGGUAAAGGCCUACCAAGGCGACGAUCCGUAGCUGGUCUGAGAGGAUGAUCAGUCACACCGGAACUGAGACACGGUCCAGACUCCUACGGGAGGCAGCAGUGGGGAAUAUUGGACAAUGGGCGAAAGCCUGAUCCAGCCAUGCCGCGUGUGUGAAGAAGGUCUUCGGAUUGUAAAGCACUUUAAGUUGGGAGGAAGGGCAGUAAGUUAAUACCUUGCUGUUUUGACGUUACCAACAGAAUAAGCACCGGCUAACUUCGUG
rnacentral:rRNA from 1 species